ACGCUGGCGGCGCGCCUAACACAUGCAAGUCGAACGGAGUUGCCUGAUCUGAUUCUUUCGGGAUGACGAACUUGCAACGUUAGUGGCGAACGGGUGAGUAACGCGUGAGGAACCUGCCCCGGAGUGGGGGACAACAGUUGGAAACGACUGCUAAUACCGCAUAAGCCCACGGUACCGCAUGGUACAGAGGGAAAAGGAGCAAUUCGCUUUGCGAUGGGUCUGCGUCUGAUUAGCUAGUUGGUGGGCAACGGCCUACCAAGGCGACGAUCAGUAGCCGGUCUGAGAGGAUGAACGGCCACAUUGGAACUGAGACACGGUCCAGACUCCUACGGGAGGCAGCAGUGGGGAAUCUUUCGCAAUGGGCGAAAGCCUGACGGAGCAACGCCGCGUGAGUGAAGAAGGUCUUCGGAUCGUAAAGCUCUGUUGUCGGGGACGAAUGUUGAGACUUAGAACAUAAGUUUCAAAUGACGGUACCUGACGAGGAAGCCACGGCUAACUACGUG
rnacentral:rRNA from 1 species